AUGGGGUUUAGUGCAUAUCAAAAGAUAUCGGCGGCAAUGCGGGUACUCGCUUAUGGCAUACCCGCGGAUUAUACCGACGAGUAUCUUCGCAUUGGGCAAGAUACAACCACGAAGUCAGUCCGUAGGUUUGCCAAGUUGGUCAUUCGGUUGUACGGUGAGCAGUAUCUUCGGGCACCAAACGAGGAAGAUACAAAGAGAUUAAUGGAAAUGAAUGAAAAAGGGGAUGGCCGGGGAUGCUAG
rnacentral:rRNA from 1 species